rnacentral:rRNA from 1 species
UACGUAGGGGGCAAGCGUUGUCCGGAAUUACUGGGCGUAAAGGGCGUGUAGGCGGCACUUUAAGUCAGAUGUGAAAGUCCACGGCUCAACCGUGGAAUUGCAUUUGAAACUGGAGUGCUUGAGUGCAGGAGAGGAGAGCGGAAUUCCUAGUGUAGCGGUGAAAUGCGUAGAUAUUAGGAAGAACACCAGUGGCGAAGGCGGCUCUCUGGCCUGUAACUGACGCUGAGGCGCGAAAGCGUGGGUAGCGAACAGGAUUAGAUACCCUGGUAGUCCACGCCGUAAACGAUGAGUGCUAGGUGUUGGGGGACGAACCUCAGUGCCGCAGCUAACGCAUUAAGCACUCCGCCUGGGGAGUACGACCGCAAGGUUGAA